UUUUAUCUUUGCAACUCUUAAUCUCGCUACCUCCCCCUCCUCUCUUCUCUCUUCUCCCUCUCUCUCCUCUUUUCUCUACCGCUGUCUCUGAGACUUCUUCUUCCCUUUUUCCUAAAGAAGUUGAUCCAGAAAUUCGAAAAGCCCUGGGCAGAGUUGUUGAAUGGGAUGUGCAAUUAGAGAGGGGAUUUUGUUGGGAGGCAAGAGGGUCCCCCAGGCUCCACAUAGUCCAGGUCGGCAGGCAAGGAAAGACGGCUGACCAGCCCAGCGGGCGCGGUUUGCACAUGGUUUGCACGUCGGGCCGCCUCUUUCUGCCUAUGUGAGCACUAAUAGUGGCAAGGAAGAAAGGAGAGAUGAGAUCAUGGGGCCCACCAAGCACCGACCUUGGCCCAGCGGGCCGUGGCGCCAGCCGGGGAUCCCGGAUUCCGAGGGUAUCUGGCGCCAGGGAGCCUGAGCCCAAUUCCCAGGGUGCUGGAGGCCGCUCUUGCCUCCCCCAUCGGUGCCCAUGGACCGCAUUCACCUCAACUCCCUCUUCAUCAAUUAGGCUUCUCUUUACUCCCUCCCCGGCCAAGGAGCCUCGAUUUCCCCCACCACCCUGUAUUUUAAAAUAACAGUCCAAACAGUACACUUCUUUCCAUCUUAAGAAGCAACUCAACUCUUUGUUUCUUCCCAGAAUUCAGCUGCCUCUCUGAGGAGUGGUGGAGGAGCUGCGGGAGCCGAGAAGCCCAAGAGCCCUCUGGACCCAGAAAAGUCCUACAGAUGCCCACUCCUCACCACACAACAGAAGGAGCUCUGGUCCUGCCUGCCAGCCCCAGAGGGCACUCAAACUUUGGAGGCCAGCCACCCGGAUGAAGUGAAUAAGGCCUGAAAAUUGCUUGUUUGCUCGUAUUGUAAAAUAAUAAUAAUUACCAUUAUUAUUUUUAAACUGUCUAAUUUCUCUAGGGAAAGUAACAUCGAAAGCCUAAAACAGACGCCAAAAGGCCCAUAGAACACAGAGGGCCCUCUCUGCCUCUGGCCACCACAGCCCCUAGGCCAGGCAUGGGUAUUUAUUCUUAGGUAUGUUGCUUUUAAGAAGCUGUAAUCAGCAUCUUGAGCCGGGCCUCCCUUUGUGAGGCUUCUGUAACUAUGGAAGUGUGAUUUACGCAGAUUUGUCGGGGUCAGAGACGUCUUUCCCUGAGCACUGUGUAUAUUUAGACAGGACUCGGUUUGGUGUUAAAAAGUGUAUAUGUUGAAUGGAUUCACACACAGUAGCCAACAAUGACCACAUUGUCGGCCCGUGUACAACGCGUAUUGAAACGCAGCGCCCAGACUUCAACUAAUCUGCCCUCAAUAAAGCUGAAAUAAUUAUCCUAA
rnacentral:lncRNA from 10 species